UACGUAGGGUGCAAGCGUUAAUCGGAAUUACUGGGCGUAAAGCGUGCGCAGGCGGUUGUGCAAGACAGAUGUGAAAUCCCCGGGCUCAACCUGGGAACUGCAUUUGUGACUGCACGGCUAGAGUGUGUCAGAGGGGGGUAGAAUUCCACGUGUAGCAGUGAAAUGCGUAGAUAUGUGGAGGAAUACCGAUGGCGAAGGCAGCCCCCCUGGGAUAACACUGACGCUCAUGCACGAAAGCGUGGGGAGCAAAC
rnacentral:rRNA from 1 species